UACGUAGGGAGCAAGCGUUGUCCGGAAUCAUUGGGCGUAAAGAGCGUGUAGGCGGUCCGGUAAGUCCGCUGUGAAAGUCGGGGGCUCAACCCUCGAAUGCCGGUGGAUACUGUCGGGCUAGAGUGCGGAAGAGGCGAGUGGAAUUCCUGGUGUAGCGGUGAAAUGCGCAGAUAUCAGGAGGAACACCUAUUGCGAAAGCAGCUCGCUGGGACGUAACUGACGCUGAGACGCGAAAGCGUGGGGAGCAAACAGG
rnacentral:rRNA from 1 species